ACCCCGGMGYKAAUUGCCUCAGUAGCGGCGAGUGAAGCGGCAAAAGCUCAAAUUUGAAAUCUGGCGUCUUUGGCGUCCSAGUUGUAAUUUGAAGAAGGUAUCUUUGGGCCCGGCUCUUGUCUAUGUUCCUUGGAACAGGACGUCACAGAGGGUGAGAAUCCCGUGCGAUGAGAUGACCCGGGUCUGUGUAAAGUUCCUUCSACGAGUCGAGUUGUUUGGGAAUGCAGCUCUAAGUGGGUGGUAAAUUCCAUCUAAAGCUAAAUAUUGGCGAGAGACCGAUAGCGAACAAGUACAGUGAUGGAAAGAUGAAAAGAACUUUGAAAAGAGAGUGAAAAAGUACGUGAAAUUGUUGAAAGGGAAGGGCUUGAGAUCAGACUUGGUAUUUUGCAUGCUGCUCUCUCGGGGGCGGCCGCUGCGGUUUACCGGGCCAGCAUCGGUUUGGAGCGGCAGGAUAAUGGCGGAGGAAUGUGGCACGGCUUCUGCUGUGUGUUAUAGCCUCUGACGAUACUGCCAGCCUAGACCGAGGACUGCGGUUUUUACCUAGGAUGUUGGCAUAAUGAUCUUAAGUCGCCCGUCUUGAAACACGGACC
rnacentral:rRNA from 1 species